rnacentral:lncRNA from 1 species
CUAAAAUUAAAUUUAGCUACAUAUAUGAAUGAGAAAAAAAUAAGAAAUUAUCAAGAAAUUCAUCAUUGGAUUGGUAGUAAAAACGUAGUAGAAAAAGUAAAAUUCUUACACCAAGAUCUCCUUCUUCUUCCAAUCAAUGCUUUAAAUCUUCAAUUGCUUGGUGUUUUCCUCCAUUGAAUUUCUCUUUUGAUUCUCCAAUUAUGUUAUUUUGCCUCUCAAUGUGUGAAGAAUUCUCCAAGAGUGUGAGAAAGAUGUAUUUAUAGGUACUUCCUUCGUUUGUGUAGAAAGUAGGGUUUUUAUGGAUUUCAAAAAGACUCAAAAACGCGUCAUAGACAAUCCCGGCGCAGCACCUAAGUGCUAGGAGUCAAUGCCUCGAACAAAUUCAAGUAGUGCCUAAGUGCUACGCAUGCAGCGCCUAAUCGUUGAUGGUAGGGCCUGGGCGCUAUGAUUGUAGCGUCUAAGCGCUGACUUUUGGGGAUAGCGCUCGGGCGUUGUCGUCCAUUCGAUCGCACUGCACAACUUUCCGUCUUUUAAUAAUAACUUUUUUUUCCAAUAUCCGAUCGAGGCGAUUCAAGAUUCUUUGGAAAGCUAACUCUAAGGGCUAUACCUUUGCUUCAGAUACCAUUUUUAAAUUCGAUCAUUUGCUAUGUCAAAAGUGGGUCUCAAUAUGAGUCUAAAAACGAUGCAUACAUUUCUUCAGAUGGAACUUGAUGUGUUAUCAUAAUUUGAUUAUAUUUCAUCUCUUCAAUGUCUUUCUUUAUUCAAUUGACUUGGAGAACUUUUGAAUCUUCAUAGUGAGGUCUGACACAACUUUUGAGUAUUUGCACUUUAGUCCACGAACUUUGGAUCUCUUAGGAUUUAGUGAUUUUCUCCAAUUUUGUAGACUUUUCCUUAUUUCCUUCAAUUUCUUGUACUGUCAUUGAAUUUUACCUAUUUAACACCAAAUACAAUAAUUUAGACCAUAAUUUAUUCAAAAAGCAACCAAAUGUCAUCAUUUUAAAGUUUUGAAUAAAUGUAUAAAAUACCCUUAUCAAUAUUUAUAUUUUAUAGUUAAUUAU